rnacentral:lncRNA from 1 species
UUGUAGCUGAAAAAAAUCCAGUGAAAACUGCCGGCAUUUAUUGUGUUCCUUGGUAGCCUUGACAAGGAAAAUUACCCCUGCAACUCCUAAGGCACCAGAUCGGAAGUUUGGAACUAUUGGGAUUGGAAAGAGUGAACCACAGAUGUGUUUACCUGUUGCCUGUAACUAUAAUUGAUACAUGGUUUUCAGCAUCCAUUCUUUCAGCUACUGGGACAAAAUCAGAAGGUAUGGCAUUUUAAAUUAGUAUAUUAUAUAUAGAUUAUUAAUAAGUCCUUAGGAGAAUAAUAAU